CCCUUAGAUGUUCUGGGCCGCACGCGCGCUACAAUGAUGAAUUCAACGAGUUUAUAACCUUGGUUGAAAAGCCUGGGUAAUCUUUUGAACUUUCGUCGUGAUGGGGCUAGACCCUUGCAAUUAUUGGUCUCCAACGAGGAAUUCCUAGUAAACGCAAGUCAUCAGCUUGCAUUGAUUACGUCCCUGCCCUUUGUACACACCGCCCGUCGCACCUACCGAUUGAAUGGUCCGGUGAAAUCUUCGGAUUGAGACUUUGAUUUCUUCACGGAAAACGCUGUUUUAAAAAGUUGAUUAAACCUUACCACUUAGAGGAAGGUGAAGUCGUAACA
rnacentral:rRNA from 1 species